GUAGUGCUCCACUAGGUCCCGAAAAUGGGGGAUAAUGGGGAGGAGCCUUUGCAGCUCCUUUGCUUGUCUAUAAAUACAAGAUGUAGCUCUUGGUUGUGAGGGAGCAUUCGGGUGGGAAUGUUCAGAUGUAAGGGCAUUCGGUUGGGAUUGUCCAGCAUGUAGGGGCAUGCAAGAACAUGUGUAGAACACUAGUUAGAGGUAGCUUAGUGUAGCAUGCAAUCUUUGUGCAUAGCACACAUACGGAUUUGUGUAUAGUUUCCUUUGUGUAUGAGAUUAAUAAAGGUUGGGAAAGAGUUCCUGUAAAGCUUGUUGUGCACUAUGAUUCUUAUCCUUGCUUGUGUAUUCUGCUUGCUUAGUUAUUAGGCAAACACGAGUGAGAUUGGUGAGGGAAGGCUGAGUCUAGUGAGGGACUAGGCUGCCGCACGGGUUUAUUCGCGUAGCGAAAAAUACCCCCGUGACAGUUGGUAUCAGAGCGCGGUUGCUUUCGUGGCAGGAUGACGAGAAGAAUUCUGCGGCCAAAUCAACGGACUGAUUUGGGAGAGCUACUGCUUCUGCCGAUGGAGAAGCAGAUUUCAGCGCAAUGAUCAGCGACGAGAAUGCUGGUGUUUCUCGGGACAAAUCGAAGGGACUGAUUUGGGAGAAACAUUGCUGCUGCCGAUGGACUGGCAGAAACUUUGGAGCAAGAGCGCAAUAUGCGUUCAUGACGAAACGAUGGGCUGUUUCGUAGCACAGACGAUGGGCUGUUCUGUGGGGGCAGAUCGAAGGGCUGAUUUGUUCCAAGCCAUUUGAGGGAAAAACUUGCUAGCGUUUUGGGCAGUGUUGGUGUUCAAAAGGCCUGCGGAGUUUUAGGGGUUUAACUACUCCAUGGGCGAUGCAAAGUGACGACGAAGGGAUCAGCUCAAGAUGGGUGCUGAUUCGGCCAUUGAAACUGUCAGGUGGACUGGCAGGCUUGAGAGUAGGGGCCAGCGGAGGGGCUGCUGGGCGCUUCUGUAUUUUCGUCAAAGCCUUGAGGGAAGGAUGGGGCGAGACAGAAGAAGAAGCAAGUCAAUGUGGAGAGCCUAAACUUGUUGCUGCUGAUGAUGGACAGUCAGACGAGAAGGCAAAUCGGUAAGGGUUCGAAACUGAAACUUGCAUUGUUGUUCUCUUGCGAUGGAAAUUACUUUGUGCGAGAUUGUUGCCCAAAGGAGGGGAAACCUUGAUGUUGUCAUUGUGGAAGAUGGUGUUUGAGAUUAGGCAUACGUAAACCUUAUACGUUUGCUAGAUGACCGAGAUGGAAUUCAGUCAUCAUGAGCCAGCAUAUCGGAGUGGAUGCGGUCUGGCCUUGCUUGCUGCCUUGGUGGCAGAACUUAGGGAUUGUUGUGCAUCUCAAGGAAGGAAUGUUCAGGGAGAUGAAUGUUCAGGGAGGUGGAAGCAAAAUCCAGAGACCAAGUUGAGGACAGACGAAUCUAUGAGGAUUUGUUGUGGCUUUGCUGCCUUUGUGGAGGCAGAAUUGAUGUCUUCGGUGGAGACCUUGAUGAUGGACAGUUCAGGGUGAAGAAGACAGAACAGUGGCUGAGAUAGACUUUAGUCACGUUGAGACCAGGAUUGGAGGCAUUAAAGAGGAGGCAGUACCGUGGGGGUGUGUCUCAAGGAGUCUGCACGUUGUCGAGGGACAGACUGGGUGACAGAUUCGGCAGCCGAUCCAGUGGGCUUGGCGUGGAAGCCAAAAUCUUCGAUGAAGAUGAUUUUGUGUAUUGUCUUGGAAUCAGUACGAGUGGCUAUUCUGUGCAUUGUGAUGGUUGGCAGUGAUGGAAGCAGAAUGGUAAUGACCUUGUUGGGACAAAGUGUUGCGAGUUUUCGGUUGACGAAACAUGCAGCGAAGGUUGAAAACAGUAGGGGCUGUUUUGCGUCAGCGAAAUCUUGUGUGAUGGACGAAGUUCUAGCGCAUGACAGUAGCGCAUGGGGGAACCAGGUCAGACGAAACUUGAUACUGGGAUGCUAUGUAUUGGUGCUAUGGCAGGUUACAGAUGGACUUAGAGGGACUUGCCGAAAGACUUCGACAUGAGAUGGAGUUGAUCAACGAAACUGAGUCGGUGCUAGGUUCAACAGCACUGUCUCAUUCUUAUUUCUUGCAGGUGGAGAACCUAAAAGGGCUGACGGCAAUGGGAAGUCAGAAGCCAAGGGCAAGGAAAAGGUUUCGGAAUCAUGUUUGGGCUGUUUUAUUUGUGAGGGGAAGCACUUCACAAGGGACUGCCCGUUAAGAGCACAGUUUAGUGCUACUUCCGUGGAGAAGAAUGGAGAAGGAACGGCAUACGUAAAUCCUAUACGUGUGCUAAACACUAAGUAAAGAGUUAGUGUGAAGGGGCCAGCACAGUUGAUGAAGACUUAGGCGUGGCCGAACUGCCUUGUGCGAGGCAGAUUUGGGGGAGUUUCAUAACUUGGACGAUGGACAGAUCAUGGUUUAACUCCAGGCGUGAGGAUGCGCCAACGAAAAACACACUGCAUAGAAUUCGGCAGCGAUGAACAGCAGCAGCCUUGCAUGGGCAGAGGUGAAUUCGGCAGGAUGUGUUGAUUGCUGAGAAGCGGACAAGUAAGCAAUAUUGGUAAUACUUGCAGUUUUGGGGCACGCAGAAUGGUUGGAGAACUAGAAUGUUCGUAUGGGAGCUCAUGCGGUUCUUCGAAGUGAUUUUGUGUGGAUGUAUUUUGUGAAGGAAGGGACGGAUUCCUUGGGUGCUAGGCGUGGCAUCUAAACUUUGCGAAAACAUGCUUGCGAGUAUGAUGUGUUUGACAUUUGUGGAAAACUAACGAGCCAAAACAGAAUGUGUCACAGCUUGGUUUUUCGAAACAGGUUGACAAAGAUUCGGUGGACUGAAUUUGUUGUUGAAUGUGGGAAAAGCUAAGGGGUUUCGUGCGGAGAAACGUGGAUUGUGACGAGGAACAGAUGCGGUGCAAGGGUACUUCAAUUCUGUCCGACGAGGGCGUCGGGUUCUUUUGGUGGGGGUGGUUUGUCACAGUGUCAAAUGUGCACGAGGUGCACGCUUCGGCAGGCUGGCCAAAACAAGGCCUGAGGGUGCUGGCAGCCAUGCCAUCAGUGGGAGAAAUCGUCAGCGCAGAUUUAUGCGGCUGUAGGUUCGUCAAAGGGAAAAUCGGCAGCGCAGAUUGUUGACGAACAUGGGCUGGACGAGGGACUGUCCAAGCCUCGUCAGGAGGAUAGGCUGACGAGAAUUGGGGCUAUCGCAGAAUUCAGCAGCGUAGACAGGGGCAGCCUGCACGCAGAUGCGAAUUCGGCAGCGCAGAGAUUGGCAGCACGCAUAUGCGAAUUCGGCAACGCAUUGGCAGCCUGCCCGCAGAUGCGGAUUCGGCAGCGCGCAACAACUUGUGCAAGUCAGGGGCUCGACUUGGCACGAUCUAAAACUUGGGCGAAGGAUUGUCCAAGGCAUGGGUAAAAGAGCUCUAGGCGCUGGGACGCGCCAGCGAAGGCACACUGCCUAGAAUUCGGCAGCGAUGGAUCGCGGCAGCCUUGCAUAGGCAGAGAUGAAUUCGGCAGGCAGCAUGCAAUGGUCUAUGCGAGUCUUUGAGCUUGCGACUUGGCAUGGACGUGGGGGCUUAGAUGAUGGACCUUCUAAGUCAGCAGCUGACGCAGCAGAAGCUGGCAGCUGGGGCUGCCAAGUAGACAGCCAAGAAAUGGGGGAAGUGGCAGCUUCAUGGGAGGCAGAACGUGGGAGCAUAACUGGGGUGCUUUCCAGGCCACUAUGUCCUGAAAACAUGGGAUCAUGGGUGAGAGGUAGUGCUCCACCAUGUCCUGAAAACAUGGGAUCAUGGGAGAGAGGUAGUGCUCCACUAGGUCCCGAAAAUGGGGGAUAAUGGGGAGGAGCCUUUGCAGCUCCUUUGCUUGUCUAUAAAUACAAGAUGUAGCUCUUGGUUGUGAGGGAGCAUUCGGGUGGGAAUGUUCAGAUGUAAGGGCAUUCGGUUGGGAUUGUCCAGCAUGUAGGGGCAUGCAAGAACAUGUGUAGAACACUAGUUAGAGGUAGCUUAGUGUAGCAUGCAAUCUUUGUGCAUAGCACACAUACGGAUUUGUGUAUAGUUUCCUUUGUGUAUGAGAUUAAUAAAGGUUGGGAAAGAGUUCCUGUAAAGCUUGUUGUGCACUAUGAUUCUUAUCCUUGCUUGUGUAUUCCGCUUGCUUAGUUAUUAGGCAAACACGAGUGAGAUUGGUGAGGGAAGGCUGAGUCUAGUGAGGGACUAGGCUGCCGCACGGGUUUAUUCGCGUAGCGAAAAAUACCCCCGUGACAGAGGCCAAG
rnacentral:lncRNA from 1 species